GUAGGUGAACCUGCGGAAGGAUCAUUAACGUUAAACCCCCCCGUGCACCUUCAAACACCAUACAGCGCUUCGUGACCCAUCUUGUGUCGGGAUUGAUGGUCGGGAAAAACAGGGAUCUAGGGAGUUGGUUGUCGGGGGAGAACCUCGCGAAAUGGGGUGGCACGCCGAGAGGGGGGACCAUUCCUGGUAAACGUGGUCUCCACUUCAACUUGUUUAGCACCUUUUGUCCUCUACCCGUACCGCUUGUCGCCACGAUUUGGAUCUUGAUGCACCCGUUUUCUUAGAACCACCGCGAAAACUAUGUCUUCCCGCAAAAGUACCCGCUCGGGGGGCCUGAGAACUUCCAACUGUUAACAAUGGAUAUCUUGGCUCUC
rnacentral:misc_RNA from 1 species